rnacentral:rRNA from 2 species
UACGAAGGGUGCAAGCGUUACUCGGAAUUACUGGGCGUAAAGGGUGCGUAGGUGGUUUGUUAAGUCUGCUGUGAAAUCCCCGGGCUCAACCUGGGAAUGGCAGUGGAUACUGGCAAGCUGGAGUGCGGUAGAGGGUAGUGGAAUUCCCGGUGUAGCAGUGAAAUGCGUAGAGAUCGGGAGGAACACCAGUGGCGAAGGCGGCUACCUGGACCAGCACUGACACUGAGGCACGAAAGCGUGGGGAGCAAACAGG